rnacentral:rRNA from 1 species
CGGAAACGUGUCUAGCUUGCUAGAUGAUGUCGAGUGGCGGACGGGUGAGUAAUACUUAGGAACAUGCCUUUGGGUGGGGGAUAACUAUUGGAAACGAUAGCUAAUACCGCAUAAUGUCUACGGACCAAAGGGGGCUUCGGCUCCCGCCCAGAGAGUGGCCUAAGCGAGAUUAGCUAGUUGGUGUGGUAAAGGCUCACCAAGGCGACGAUCUCUAGCUGUUCUGAGAGGAAGAUCAGCCACACUGGAACUGAGACACGGUCCAGACUCCUACGGGAGGCAGCAGUGGGGAAUAUUGCACAAUGGGGGAAACCCUGAUGCAGCCAUGCCGCGUGUGUGAAGAAGGCCUUCGGGUUGUAAAGCACUUUCAGUUGUGAGGAAAGUUUGAUGGUUAAUACCCAUUAGAUGUGACGUUAACAACAGAAGAAGGACCGGCUAACUCCGUGCCAGCAGCCGCGGUAAUACGGAGGGUCCGAGCGUUAAUCGGAAUUACUGGGCGUAAAGCGUUCGUAGGCGGUUGAUUAAGCAAGAUGUGAAAGCCCAGGGCUCAACCUUGGAACUGCAUUUUGAACUGGUCAACUAGAGUACUGUAGAGGGUGGUGGAAUUUCCAGUGUA